rnacentral:rRNA from 1 species
UACGUAGAGCGCAAGCGUUGUCCGGAAUUAUUGGGCGUAAAGAGCUCGUAGGCGGUCUGUUACGUCUGCUGUGAAAACCCAGGGCUUAACCCUGGGCUUGCAGUGGAUACGGGCAGACUAGAGGCAGGUAGGGGAGAAUGGAAUUCCCGGUGUAGCGGUGAAAUGCGCAGAUAUCGGGAGGAACACCGGUGGCGAAGGCGGUUCUCUGGGCCUGACCUGACGCUGAGGAGCGAAAGCGUGGGGAGCGAACAGG